UNGCUCAGUGGUUAAGAGCACUGGCUGCUCUUCCAGAGGACCUGGGUUCAACUCCCAG
rnacentral:tRNA from 1 species